rnacentral:rRNA from 1 species
CUACGGGGCGCAGCAGUGGGGAAUAUUGCACAAUGGGCGCAAGCCUGAUGCAGCAACGCCGCGUGAGGGACGAAGGCCUUCGGGUUGUAAACCUCUUUUAGCAGGGAAGAAGCGAAAGUGACGGUACCUGCAGAAAAAGCACCGGCUAACUACGUGCCAGCAGCCGCGGUAAUACGUAGGGUGCAAGCGUUGUCCGGAAUUAUUGGGCGUAAAGAGCUCGUAGGCGGUUUGUCACGUCUGCUGUGAAAUUUCGAGGCUCAACCGCGAACUUGCAGUGGGUACGGGCAGGCUAGAGUGCGGUAGGGGAGAGGGGAAUUCCUGGUGUAGCGGUGGAAUGCGCAGAUAUCAGGAGGAACACCAAUGGCGAAGGCACAUCUCUGGGCCGUAACUGACGCUGAGGAGCGAAAGCGUGGGGAGCAAACAGGAUUAGAUACCCCAGUAGUC